CUAGGCCCAGGUCCUUAACCCCACAGCGCCCGGCCCAAGCUUCAAAGAAGAUGCUCUCCCGUGUCCCCACGCUCCAGUCAGAAAUCCGGACUCCGGAUCCGGACUCCGAGAGAACACAGACACCACAAGGCACAUGCGGUGCCUGUCCAGAGCUCUACAGACUCAGACUGGGUUGAGAAAUGAAAGAAGAGAUCACACUGUCCCAGCAUAACCCUGAGGAGCCCUGAGGAACCCUGGGGCAGGCCCAGGAAGUUCUGCUCUUCAAGUAAAGGUCGACCUGGCCACCGCCAGAAAAGAAGAGAAACUGGGCAACGAGGAGCAGCCUUUCAGGUCCUGCAGGUUACAGGUCUGCUGUGAUUCUGGUGGGGAUGGGUCACAAGACUUGGAAAGCAUUAAAGCCAAUGAUACCCAAGGACAGUGUACCCUCCUCUGCUUUGAAACAACAGUGAACAAAUGGCCUACACUG